AAGACAUUGUAACUGUUAGAAGCUACUGGGUGCCCUGUCAGACUGUAAAUUGAACUAUUGCCUGGGAUCUUGUGGAUACAGUCAUUUUAAAAACUUGGAGGUAUUUUUUAUUUCAUGGUGCAGAGGAAAUCAGUUGCUGCCCCAAUGCACUUUCAUUUCUGUUCUGUAUGCAUGCUGGCUCUUUCAGAGGUGGCUGGUAUCUGUGAGACUAUGUGGGAUAAAUAUUUGUGGUGGUGGUGGGGGGGAAGGUGGCUUUAAUGCUGGUAGUGGGGGCAGAGCUGGGAGUGGUGGGGCGGGUGCAAGGAGAAGGCUCUAGAGAAGCAGCACUGCUUUCAUGCCACUGUGUUGCUUUUGAGCUUAAUGGUAAGCAUGUGCUUUGCUGAUUUGAGAUCUCUUGAACAGAAAGAGACAAGGAAUCACCAUUUGAGGAGCCUGUUCUCCUUCAAUGGCUGGAUGUGUCCAGACUGUACCUUCUGACUUUGGCAUUAGUGAAGGUCAAACACAGGGAACCAUCCCUAUGGUCCAGAGAAUUAGCUGUGGCAGCCUUCUGCUACAUGCUGUCUUUGCCUUGGAUGAUAUGAAGGAAAAAAUUCAUCCUGGGGACUUCAACACAAAACUCAGUGCAAUUAAAUGUUUGUACUUGAACUUCUGAUAGCCACUAUGGAAUUCCAGAUAGCUUGCACACAUGGAAGGACAGAUGAGCACAUCCACCUACCUUGAUUUUGGGAAGUGAUAAAGGAGGAGGAAUUGCAAAUAUUCGAUCUGAAAAAGAGUCUCUGGCAGAAUUGAGUUUUCAGGUUGUCACUGUGGUGAGUUAUCUGCUCUGUGUAUCUAUAAACUUGGCAAGAGCAGCUACUACCCCUUAGUUUGAGCUGCACCAACACACACACACUUUAGCAGAGUAGAAGAAGGAAAAAGAGCUUACUCUGAAAGGGAAAUGGCAGGAAGAUAUCACAUGCAGCAAACUCCUCUGGCAGCCAAGACUUGUGACGGGAUAAAGAUUAUUUUUUUUGUAGAUAGCAUUCCUAAAUACACAGUGGCUUGGUGGGAUGUUAUAUGAGAAAAAGAUACAUAUUACUUUGGUGUUUUACUGUGUGCUGCACGAUUUUUUCAGUGUAAGUUUUUAAUCUUGAAAUACAGGAUGGUUUCAGCACUCCUCUGAAAUUUUAAUGCUUACCAUUAGAAAUAUAUAUUUUUUCAUAUUAUCUUGAUCUGAGAGAAACUCUUUUGGUAUUGGUUAUGAAAUAAGAAAAUGUGCAGGCUCUGUGGCACUACCCCUUGGUUUUGUCUCUGGGUUCUCUGCAUGGGUCUGUAGCUAAUGUUGCAGCACCUGUCCUAUAUUUCAAGUGUAACAGGAGGCCUU
rnacentral:lncRNA from 1 species